UACAGAGGUCUCAAGCGUUGUUCGGAUUCAUUGGGCGUAAAGGGUGCGUAGGUGGGUUGAUAAGUCAGUGGUGAAAUCCCCCGAGCUUAACUUGGGAACUGCCAUUGAUACUAUUGAUCUUGAAUACCGUGGAGGUCAGCGGAAUAUGUCAUGUAGCGGUGAAAUGCUUAGAUAUGACAUAGAACACCAAUUGCGAAGGCAGCUGGCUACGCGAAUAUUGACACUGAUGCACGAAAGCGUGGGGAUCAAACAGG
rnacentral:rRNA from 1 species